CAAAUCGACAGCAGGAGAUGCAAUCUUUUAUGGGCUUCAAAUUUUCUUCAAACCGAGACCAAAUUCGCUAUUUUUCAGCAAGAGAGCGUUGCCGUUUGUAACGGCCGAUGAAAAGAUCCAAACAAAUUUGACUAACAGUAGACAGAGAAAGAGAGAUAGAGAGAGAGAAAAUUACUCGCUGGUGACGAAGCUAAUGAAUUCGGAGACGCAUUGCUGGACGGUGUUCGACUGAUCGGCACGAGUAGAGACAUGAGAUCAGAAAGACAGAAAAAUUAGGGUUUAGGAGAUAAAGAAACUGGGGCAGAGACAGACGGAAAGAAAGAAGCAGAAAAGAGGAUGGCAACUGAAACCUUCCAGCGACUUUGUUCUUUAAAAAUA
rnacentral:lncRNA from 1 species